rnacentral:tmRNA from 1 species
GGGGGUGUUUUGGUUUUGACAGCGCCGAUGUCGGACGGUAAGCAUGCCGGGCGUUGGGGCCUUGCCCGUAAAUCUCAGACUCCAAAAUUCAGUUGCCAACAACAACUAUGCACUCGCUGCCUAAUUCGGCCAAGUCCAAUUAGCUUAAUCCGUCCCGCCAAGGCUGCGGGGCCGACGAGUAUCCCUCGGGCCUUCCGCCUCUUAAGGCCCGACAAAGGGGUAUCAAUCAUUUGAGGCCGCUCCGGAGGACGCCUCUAAAUCCGGCUAAGACUUAAAGGCUAAGGGACGCUUCGCCCGCUUUCCGGCAGGGCUUCCCCGACAACCAAAGGAAAGAUAAGCAUGUAGAAAGCCGCCUGGUGCGACGUUUGGACAGCGGUUCGAGUCCGCUCACCUCCACU